GAUUAAGGAAUUUUGUCACUAUGUGUUUAGGUUGAUAAUACUGAAGAAAUCACCUUUGAAGCUUUGAAGAAAGCAAUUGAUAACAAUGGACUUGAAGAACAGGAAAAGGAAAAAAGGCGUCUCGUGAUUGAAAAGUUCCAAAAAGCACCAUUUGAGGAAAUUGCAGCUCAGUGUGAAACCAAAGCAAACUUGCUUCACGAUAGACUGGCACAGAUACUGGAACUCACCAUCCGGUAAGGCUUUAUGUGAAAAGAAUAUCAUAACUGAAAAAUGGCUUAGAAAACAAUUGUGGCUGUUUUCAGAUGGUUAUGUCUUAGUGUUCUCAAACACCUGUAAUAGGGAGAAAAUAAUUGCCUUAACUGAAUGCUUUGGUUUACCCCUGAUAGGCCUCAUGUAACCCCAGGUAGCCACUGGCUUAACCUUCCUCAGCAGGAUGAGGAAGAGAAUUGGAAGGGUAAAAGUGAGAAAAACCAUGGGUUGACAUAAGAAUAAUUUAAUAGGUAAAACAAAAGUCACACAUGCUA